rnacentral:lncRNA from 1 species
ACAUAAAUUGCCUUUUUCUAUCCCUAAAUUCCCCUAUAAAUGCCCCUCCUCUUCCUCUCAAUUCAUACUGAAAAAUUCUAGAUAAAGGAGAGAAAAAGCAGAAAGAGGCUAAAGAAUUUUUGUGAGAGAGUGGAGUGAGAAAGUUAGGGGUUUGGAGAGUAGUGAGAAAAAAAGUUUUAGUUUAGAUUUUUUAUUUUUGAGAAAAGUGAUGAAAAAAAAGAGAGAAAAAUAGUGUUUUUAGUUAUGGUUCUUUGAAGGUGAAGAACACAUUCAAGGAUGUUCGCGAACUUCAAGAUCCAAUCUCGAGGGCAUGAAGAAAU